rnacentral:lncRNA from 1 species
UUAUCUGGCUCGAACAGAAUAGAUGUAUUUUUCAAAAGAAAGGCACUCGCAAAAUUAGAUAUUAGUGAACGUCCGUAUUGUUGGCUUAAAUGGGACAGCAUCCUAUAGCGGGAGGCUAUGUGUGAGUUGAGUCAUGUUCGAAAUGGCGUGAGACUGGGUUGGACCGAGUCACAAUCGAGACCCGUGGACGCUGUAUCUGUACGCUUUAAGUGAAUUAGUUGCGUAUUUAUAACAGCUCGAGUUUUUGAAAUUAAUGGUUAGCGUCAAUGAUCUGAUAAGUCGUAUCAGAGCCAGUAGUUACGGGUUCGAUUUCCGCAUACAUGCUACAAAUGUAUGCAGAUGCUGCAAGGAAGAUUGUUGGCUUAAAUGGGCCAGCAUGCUGCCCCGUGGCGGGAGGCCAUGUGUAGGCCGAGUCAUGUUCGAAAUGACGUGAAGCUGGUUUGGGCCGAAUCACGUUCAAAGAAGCGUGAGACUGGUUGGGCCGAGUCACAAUCGAGACUCGUGGGCGCUGUAUCUGUACGCUUUAAGCGAAUUGGUUGUGUAUUUUUAACUGCUUGAGUUUAACUUUUGAGAUUAAUGGUUAGCGCCAACGAUCCGACACGUAUUACUCCGGAUCAGUCUGCUAAACUUCGGACAUUAUAAUACCUUCCCCUAUGAGUCUCCAACGAUUCGUCUAUUCCUAUCGUUUUCUCUUAUCUUAUGUGAAGGAUCUAUACUCCUCCUUUUUCCUUUUUUCCUUUCUUUGUGUUUUUCUUUUUCUACUCCUUUCCUAGAGGCCUGGUUGCCUGACCGUGUAGUCAAAUUCACUAUCUAAUUAAAUGAAACGGUAGCAUGCUACUAAUUUUUCAAAAAAAAAAUUAAUAAAAAAAAUUAUUAAUAACUAAUACAGCUAGUAAAUUUGUUAAACG